rnacentral:rRNA from 1 species
AACGAACGCUGGCGGCAGGCCUAACACAUGCAAGUCGAACGCCCUAGCAAUAGGGAGUGGCAGACGGGUGAGUAACACGUGGGAACCUUCCCUAUAGUACGGAAUAGCUCAGGGAAACUUGAAGUAAUACCGUAUACGCCCGAGAGGGGAAAGAUUUAUCGCUAUAGGAUGGGCCCGCGUCGGAUUAGCUAGUCGGUGAGGUAAUGGCUCACCAAGGCGACGAUCCGUAGCUGGUUUGAGAGAACGACCAGCCACACUAGGACUGAGACACGGCCCAGACUCCUACGGGAGGCAGCAGUGGGGAAUAUUGGACAAUGGGCGCAAGCCUGAUCCAGCCAUGCCGCGUGAGUGAUGAAGGCCUUAGGGUUGUAAAGCUCUUUUAGCAGGGAAGAUGAUGACUGUACCUGCAGAAUAAGCUCCGGCUAACUUCGUGCCAGCCGCCGCUGUAAAAC